rnacentral:rRNA from 1 species
UACAGAGGUCUCAAGCGUUGUUCGGAUUCAUUGGGCGUAAAGGGUGCGUAGGUGGCGCCGUAAGUCGGGUGUGAAAUUUCGGAGCUUAACUCCGAAACUGCAUUCGAUACUGCGGUGCUUGAGGACUGGAGAGGAGACUGGAAUUCAUGGUGUAGCAGUGAAGUGCGUAGAGAUCAUGGGGAAGACCAGUGGCGAAGGCGGGUCUCUGGACAGUUCCUGACACUGAGGCACGAAGGCCAGGGGAGCAAACGGG